rnacentral:misc_RNA from 1 species
UACGUAGGGUGCAAGCGUUGUUCGGAAUUACUGGGCGUAAAGGGCGCGUAGGCGGGUCUGUAAGUCGAUUGUGAAAGCCCCGGGCUUAACCUGGGAACAGCAGUCGAAACUGCAGGUCUUGGAUACCUGAGAGGAUGGCGGAAUUCCCGGUGUAGAAGUGAAAUUCGUAGAUAUCGGGAAGAACACCUGAGGCGAAGGCGGCUGUCUGGCGGUGUAUCGACGCUGAGGCGUGAAAGCGUGGGGAGCAAACAGG